rnacentral:rRNA from 1 species
CCUACGGGAGGCAGCAGUGAGGAAUAUUGGUCAAUGGCCGGAAGGCUGAACCAGCCAUGCCGCGUGAAGGUCAGUGCCCUAUGGGCGUUAAACUUCUUUUGUGCGGGAGCAAUAAUGGUCACGUGUGGCCAGACGAGAGUACCGUACGAAUAAGCAUCGGCUAACUCCGUGCCAGCAGCCGCGGUAAUACGGGGGAUGCAAGCGUUAUCCGGAUUUAUUGGGUUUAAAGGGUGCGUAGGCUGUGAGGUAAGUCAUCGGUGAAAUGCCCCCGCUCAACGGGGUGAAGUGCCAUUGAUACUGCCUGGCUGGAAUGCGGAUGCAGUGGGAGGAAUGUGUGGUGUAGCGGUGAAAUGCAUAGAUAUCACACAGAACACCGAUUGCGAAGGCAUCUCACGAAUCCGCGAUUGACGCUGAUGCACGAAAGCGUGGGUAUCAAACAGGAUUAGAUACCCCAGUAGUC